rnacentral:rRNA from 1 species
CGGGCGACCGGCGCACGGGUGAGUAACACGUAUGCGACCUGCCCGCAGCAGGGGGAUAAGCGGAAGAAAUUCCGUCUAAUACCGCGUAACAACGUUGGGAGGCAUCUCCCGAUGUUUAAAGAUUUAUCGGCUGCGGAUGGCCAUGCGGCGCAUUAGCUAGUCGGCGGGGUAACGGCCCACCGAGGCGACGAUGCGUAGGGGUUCUGAGAGGAAGGUCCCCCACACUGGUACUGAGACACGGACCAGACUCCUACGGGAGGCAGCAG